CGGGAACCUUCGGGUUCUAGUGGCGGACGGGUGAGUAACGCGUGAGAAUCUGCCAAAAGGACUGGGACAACCACUGGAAACGGUGGCUAAUACCGGAUGUGCCGUAACGUAAAAGAGGAAACUCGCCUUUUGAGGAGCUCGCGUCUGAUUAGCUAGUUGGUAGGGUAAAAGCCUACCAAGGCAUCGAUCAGUAGCUGGUCUGAGAGGAUGACCAGCCACACUGGGACUGAGACACGGCCCAGACUCCUACGGGAGGCAGCAGUGGGGAAUUUUCCGCAAUGGGCGAAAGCCUGACGGAGCAAGACCGCGUGAGGGAAGAAGGCUCUUGGGUUGUAAACCUCUUUUCUCAGGGAAGAACACAAUGACGGUACCUGAGGAAUCAGCCUCGGCUAACUCCGUGCCAGCAGCCGCGGUAAUACGGAGGAGGCAAGCGUUAUCCGGAAUUAUUGGGCGUAAAGCGUCCGCAGGUGGCACUUCAAGUCUGUCGUCAAAGACUGGGGCUUAACCCUGGAAAGGCGGUGGAAACUGAAGCGCUAGAGUGCGGUAGGGGUAGAGGGAAUUCCCGGUGUAGCGGUGAAAUGCGUAGAGAUCGGGAAGAACAUCGGUGGCGAAAGCGCUCUACUGGACCGCAACUGACACUCAGGGACGAAAGCUAGGGGAGCGAAUGGGAUUAGAUACCCCAGUAGUCCUAGCCGUAAACGAUGGAUACUAG
rnacentral:rRNA from 1 species